UAUAUACUCCAUCCGUCCGGAAAUACUUGUCAUCGAAAUGAAUAAAAGGGGAUGUAUCUAGACGUAUGUCUAGAUACAUUCCUUUUAUGUAUUUCCGGACGGAGGGAGUACUAU
rfam:Triticum aestivum genome assembly, contig: Triticum_aestivum_CS42_TGACv1_scaffold_730639_6BL